ensembl:lncRNA
GCAGGCUCAGUCCUUUCUUGGUCCACUGAGGUGUUGAGAAAACACACACCAGACGCAGGGCUGGGAGACGAGGGCCGGGUCUAGUCUCUCCUGAGGAGGGAUGGUCAACCAGAAGGAGACCACAGCAGCGACCUCACCUGCUGCCCAUUGGCCUUUUGUCUGAUCCAUGUGCCCUGCAAUCAACUCACCAGGCUCUGUCUUUCUUGUCCCGCUGAGGUGCUGAGAAAACAGGAGCUGCUGCUGCUGCUAAGUCGCUUCAGUCGUGUCCGACCCUGUGCGACCCCAUAGACGGCAGCCCACCAGGCUCCCCUGUCCCUGGGAUUCUCAAGGCAAGAACACUGGAGUGGGUUGCCAUUUCCUUCUCCAAUGCAGGAAAGUGAAAAGUGAAAGUGAAGUCGCUCAGUCGUGUCUUGACUCCUAGCGACCCCAUGGACUGCAGCCUACCAGGCUCCUCUGUCCAUGGGAUUUUCCAGGCAAGAGUACUGGAGUGGGGUGCCAUUGCCUUCUCCGGAGAAAACAGGAGAGCUGGGCUGAAAGACGAGGGGCAGCUCUGUUCCCUUCCGAGGAGAGAGUCGAGUGGAAGGAGAGCACAGCAGCAACCUCACUUGCUGCCCAUUGACUUUUUGUCUGAUCCCUGUGCCCUGGAAUCAAUUCACCAGGUGUACCUGCCUCCC